rnacentral:rRNA from 1 species
GAUUAGAUACCCCACUAUGCUUUGCCCUAAACAUUGAUAGUUUUAUACAACCACUAUCCGCCUGGGAACUACGAGCAAUAGCUUAAAACCCAAAGGACUUGGCGGUGCUUUAAACCCACCUAGAGGAGCCUGUUCUAAAACCGAUAACCCCCGUUCAACCUCACCUUUCCUUGUUCCCCCCGCCUAUAUACCGCCGUCGUCAGCUUACCCUUUGAAGGCCCUUUAGUAAGCACAAUUGGCACAGCCUAAAACGUCAGGUCGAGGUGUAGCGUAUGGAAAGGGAAGAAAUGGGCUACAUUCCCUAUUACAGUGAAUUACGGAUAAUACCACUGAAACGUGUAUCUAGAAGGAGGAUUUAGCAGUAAGCAGAAAAUAGAGCGUUCUGCUGAAACCGGCUCUAAAGCGCGCACACACCGCC